GACGAACGCUGGCGGCGUGCUUAACACAUGCAAGUCGAACGGCAACGCCCUGCUUUUGUGGGGUGCUCGAGUGGCGAACGCGUGAGUAACACGUGAGUAACCUGCCCUUGACUUUGGGAUAACUUCAGGAAACUGGGGCUAAUACAGGAUAGGAGCUCCUGCUGCGUGGUGGGGGUUGGAACGUUUCGGCGGUUGGGGAUGGACUCGCGGCUUAUCAGCUUGUUGGUGGGGUAGUGGCUUACCAAGGCUUUGACGGGUAGCCGGCCUGAGAGGGUGACAGGCCACAGUGGCACUGGGGUGCGGCCCAGGCGCCUACGGGAGGCAGGAGUGGGGAAUAGUGCACAAUGUGCGGAAGCCGGGUGGAGCAACGCCGCGUGCGGGAGGACGGCUGUCGGGUUGGAAACCGCUUUCGCUUGUGACGAGGCGUGAGUGACGGUAAUGGGGAAUGAAGAACCGCCUAACUACGU
rnacentral:rRNA from 1 species